rnacentral:rRNA from 1 species
AUUGAACGCUGGCGGCAUGCCUUACACAUGCAAGUCGAACGGUAACGCGGGGCAACCUGGCGACGAGUGGCGAACGGGUGAGUAAUAUAUCGGAACGUGCCCAGUUGUGGGGGAUAACUGCUCGAAAGAGCAGCUAAUACCGCAUACGACCUGAGGGUGAAAGCGGGGGAUCGCAAGACCUCGCGCAAUUGGAGCGGCCGAUAUCAGAUUGGGUAGUUGGUGGGGUAAAGGCUCACCAAGCCAACGAUCUGUAGCUGGUCCGGGAGGACGACCAGCCACACAGGGACUGGGACACGGCACAGACUCCUACGGGAGGCAGCAGUGGGGAAUUUUGGACAAUUGACGCAAGUCUGAUCCAGCCAUGCCGCGUGCGGGAAGAAGGCCUUCGGGUUGUAAACCGCUUUUGUCAGGGAAGAAACGCCCUGGGUUAAUACCUCGGGGUAAUGACGGUACCUGAAGAAUAAGCACCGGCUAACUACGUGCCAGCCGCCGCCGUAAAAC